UGCAAAGCAAGCUGCCCCCAAAUUUGGUGGCUUAAAGUAAUGAUGAUUUAUUAUUUCUCAAGUUUUGUAGGUUGGUCUUACCUGGGCUCAUUCAUGUCUGCAUUCAGCUGGAGGCUCAGCUGGACUGGAAGAUCCAAGAUGGCUUCGGUCACAUGUCCAGCAGCUGGUGCUGGCUGUCAACUGGGCUAUCAGUUCUUCUCUGUGUGGCCUCCUAUGCUCCAGUAAGCUAGUCUGGCUUCCUUACAAGGCAGUCUUGGGGCAGUGUUUACAAAAUAAAACAUCAGUUUAACACAAAGAAGGUAAAGCAAAUGAUUCAUAGCCAAUGAUCACCUUGACAAGUUGUAAACUUCAGGAAAAAGAACAAAAACACAAGGAAUUUGUGUUAAGUUCUCUUGAGUUCUUUUCCAUAAUAUUAAGGAUCAGCCACCCCAGAGAUACCACUCUGGGAGAUGUGGAAAUUUAUCAAUACUGUUUCUAAUAGUAUUAAGUAAGAAAAGAAGUUAUUGUGGCAAAAAUAUCUCAAACAGGAAACCUUAACCUUGAGGUCUGUGAACACCUGACAUUUGUGUAUUGGCUCAGUUACUGAGAAUGUUCACAGCUCUUCUCAGAGCUUCAACAAGAAUCCUAAAAAUGGGGGCCGGCCCUGUUUUUGAGUGGUUACGUUCGCAAACAACUUGUCUUUAGUUCACAGGUCUUCAGAUCAAGAAGUGUACUGUAUUUUAGUUGCGGUACUUAAGGAACUACCCCUAAGAAGCCUCAUCCACACCUAGAUCUGAUUUGGAUGAUAGAUCUUGGGCUUUGAGCUGAUGCUAUAAUGGGAUAAAAUUUCUGGAAGACUUGGGAGGAGCAUUUCCUCCAGCCCCAGAGAAGCCUUUAGAUGACUACAACUUCUUGUCUGCAACCUCAUUAGAGACUCUGGCACCAGACCCACCCAAGUCAAGCUAUUCCUGAAUUCCUGAGCCUCAGAAACUAUGAGAUAAUAAAGAUGGAAAAACAGACAUGUAGAAAAGCUCCCAAAAUGCGGCAAGUUGCUUUUGGAAUGAAGAAAAGGAAAAUCUAACUUUUAAUUGAUAACAUAGUGUUAAGAUGUGAUAUAGCUAGACACACCAGAAGGUAUU